rnacentral:lncRNA from 1 species
GUUAUUUCUCUGUAUUAUUCUGGUGGUUGCCACUAAAAAUCGGAUAGUUUAUUAUUAUCGUUGUUCAUAUUAUUAUGUUGACUACUAUUUGUUUCUACUUACACAAAACUAUAACAACCUCGGUGCAUUUACGAGGUGAUAUAUCAUUACUGCAAUUAAAGCGUCGGCGAAGCAGCAACAGAACCCAGUCAGCUGUGGAGUUGUUUUACAUUCUUGUUGUGACGUGACGCGCGUGACUGUAGCAGCCCGAGCCAGAUGCCGCGCGCAGGUGAGCGAGGUGUGCCCGGGGAAAAGUCGACGAUCUCCUGCAGUCGUUUGGAGUAAGACUCAAGCAAGCGUCCAGAGUUUCAGUCAAUAAAAGGUAUGUAUUAUUUAUACAAAAUAAUCUUGUGGUAUUCAGAAAAAUGUAUUUGAAAAUAGAAAACAUAUAAGUGGCAUUAAUGACUGAUAAAUACUUAUAGGCCAACACGUGGUUCCAAUACAAUGGAACCUAUUUUGACAAGAUAUUCCUUGUAGAGCAUGCAGGGCAUAGACAAGUCCUGACCUAGGCAACAAUACAUUAUUUAUUGUCACAGGAAUGCUGAAUAAUUUGUAAAUAUUCCAGUUUAAACAAAAAAAGUUAUUGAAACAGAUCUGUAGUUUUAGCCUUGAGUUUGAGACUUUGUAGCCUUUUAAACAUCGUUUGUUUUCCUUCCCACGUUGUUACAAAUGUUUUGUUUUUUUGUCGUUUUCUUUUCGUUUUAUUCAACCUUCUGAGCCAUAUGAGUAGGUCUACUGGUAGUCUAAUGAUGUUAUUACAGUCAUUUAUGUUAUUGCACAAUAGGCAUUACUGCCACUGUUGUUAUUAAUGAUUGUUUAAUAACAAUAUGAUAAUAGCAAAACGAUUGAAUGAUAAUAUCUAUGAUCGUUGACCGUUCAGCAACUCUUCUUCUCUCUCUCUAUUCGUGUUCCAUGUUCUAAUCCUCGUGGACUUGGGCGCAUGGGAACAUGAAGAGACCACAGACUUUCUCCGCAACAAUAAAGACUAAACAACUCCCCAAAUCACGAGUAAUUGCGCGCUGGGAGACGGUUGGCGUUCACCGCUGUUCAGCUGUUCCUCCGGGAGGCGAGCUGGGGCUUCUCUACAGCGGCCGGCCGGGGCAAAGACUGUGGGCCAGUGGCGGGCGAUGACACACAUGCCAAUGCUGUUCCACCUGCGUCAGCUCUCAUAGCACGGAAAUACCAUCCAGGAGAAAGCCGACGGGACCCACAUGGGUGGCCAGGGAAGUGUAUACCCCUUUCAUACACCUCCAUCACAACGCCUGCUAAUUAAGCGGCACUAUCAAUCCAGGUUUUCUGCGGCUGCUGCGGACAAGCGGUCACUAGCUAAUGAGGCUUUAGCCUGCAGUCAGACGGAAUGCAGUAACACGUUGAGGUAAAUCUGAAUGUAUAGGCCGAGGCUAUUUACUUACAAUAGCUGAAAAUACUAUUUAUAUCAGGUCUACCUUGUCUUAUAAAUUGGACAAUAUGGAAAAUUGCAGUAAAUAAAACAACAAAAAUAUGAUCAGUUAUGAAUAGCCUAUAGGAUAUUAUUUUGUACAAACUAUAAGUCAACAUAAAUACGGGACGUAACAGUGAUUUUGUCAAUCAUAACGGUGUCCCAUGCAACAUUAACACGUGCCUUGAAUGGCAUUGAAAUUCCCGAAAUGAAUUACAGUACCUUGAAAUUCUCUUCCUCUUAAUCAUUUAUUUUUGACACACAAACUUUUCUCUAAGUUGUUUUCCUAUUCACUUGCAAUGAGUGCUAUCUUGUCUAAACCCCACUCUAACACAUGUCAUUUUUGAAACUUGUGUGAACAGGAAAAUGUAUU